rnacentral:rRNA from 1 species
UACGUAGGGUGCAAGCGUUGUCCGGAAUUAUUGGGCGUAAAGAGCUUGUAGGCGGUUUGUCGCGUCUGCUGUGAAAUUUCGGGGCUCAACCCCGAACUUGCAGUGGGUACGGGCAGACUAGAGUGUGGUAGGGGAGACUGGAAUUCCUGGUGUAGCGGUGAAAUGCGCAGAUAUCAGGAGGAACACCGGUGGCGAAGGCGGCAUCCUGGACCGACAUUGACGCUGAUGAGCGAAAGCUAGGGGAGCAAACGGG